rnacentral:rRNA from 1 species
UACGUAGGGGGCAAGCGUUGUCCGGAUUUACUGGGCGUAAAGAGCGUGUAGGCGGCCAAACAGGUCCGUUGUGAAAACUGGAGGCUCAACUUCCAGACGUCGACGGAAACCGUGUGGCUAGAGUCCGGAAGAGGAGAGUGGAAUUCCUGGUGUAGCAGUGAAAUGCGCAGAUAUCAGGAAGAACACCCGUGGCGAAGGCGGCUCUCUGGGACGGUACUGACGCUGAGACGCGAAAGCGUGGGGAGCGAACAGG